CCUGCGUGACGCACACGCACGCUCACGCCUUCACGUUGCCCCGCGGCGCCGCGCGCGAUAUCGACUCAGACCCCGAGAGACCGUCCGCCCUGUUUUCAGCGGAUAGCUGGGGCCAGGAGCACCUAGAGUGGCACUCCCUGAAUGCUCCUAUCCCUCGGAGGAAGCAGGAGAUGAGGGUGAGGGGCUGUGCUGAUUUCUUUUUCGGCGUGAGACCCACCUUUGACACGUGAGUCGUCUGAUCACCCAUUCUCAGGACGUCUUGAAUAUACAUAUUCAGGUGCAUGUUUGGAUCCCCACCAGCUGUGCUCAGAAACCCCAGAGUGACUUCUACGACGGACAGCGCUUCACAGGCAUCGCUGUAGGACUGCAGCUGUCCACUGAUGGCACUAAUGACCGAGCUGGGGAGGGAGUCCUGGGAAAUGAAAAGCAGGGAGGGAUGUCUGUGGGCUGGGUUUCUGGUGUCUCACCACCUGGUAAGAGAGCUGAGCCCCUUCACUGCCCAAGCCACAUGUGGGGUCAGCUAACAGGUGACACUUGGGCGCACUGUGUACAGGCAGUUUUCCAGACUUUCCAUAGAAAUAGAUACAAGGGCAGUGAAUCUUUAAACAACCCUGGAGGCCACGGAGACACACAGGUCUACCUAUCAAUACUGGCAUGCAGAGAGCAGGAACAAACCGGUUCCAUGGACUUUCCGCUUCAGCAGGCAUGGCCAUGACAUCAUUUCUGAGCAUCAAACCCACAAGAUGUCAGUCUGCUUUUACUCUACAAGAAAACCUGCUGAUUUGCUGUCUUGCUUGCCCUCUGCAAAGAGCACUGGGCUCUUAAGGAGCACCCUGGGGUCCUCAGGGAGGCCGCAGAAACUGCGGCUCACAGCAAACACCCGGGGCAAGGCUGGAGUAGGCCUAACAUGGAGGAAAACACACUGAGAAGGCAGAAAGCCCCAUGCAAAGGAUAAGGUUUAUCGGGAUCACCUGUGCCAUUUUGUUCUUGAUGUCCAUAAAGAGAUGUUCGUAGUUCCAGUCGUGUCUGUAUACCAAAGUGGGUAUUCCCUAAAUUGAGAAAGAAAAAAGGUUUUUAAAAUUAAAUCCACUGUGGACAUUUCCAUCAGAUGACAAACAGAAUCUGCAGCCAGAACUCCAGCGUAGUGCCGCACUGCCCAGUGUAUCCCUCAGCAAAGAGCGCCCCCUGUCAUUAACCCACCAUCUGUGGAAAUAGGAACACAACCGGGAAUCCAGCGAGCCCCCACGGCCAAUUACAUGACAAGAUAUUGUCACGUCAUCGUGGCCGGCUUCGCCACAGGAGGUGCUAGGGCAACAGCAGGGUCUCAAAGGAAGUAAUGGACAUAAAUCAAAAGACGCUGCUGAUGGCCUUGGCAGAUCAGCAAGACACAGCAAAUCUGUCAAUCCAGCUCAGCUGCCGUAGCUGUCCUGUUGCAGCCACUGGUUCACGCACACUGGACAGGUGCACCCUGGAGGCCGUGGGCACAUGACUUCCAAUACAGUGUCACAUGAUGGGCCGCGUCAGUGGUCCACCACCCUGCAUCAUUUGACAUAAACCAGGGAACACGCAGGCCCCAAGGGAUGCCACCUGGUAUCAGAGAGAAGCCACGGGCCCACCCUACCUUCAGAGCAGUCUCAAUGCCCAGCGGCUUGCACUCGAGGACAGCUUUGGCCACAGCAUCACGGAGAGCCUUGUAUUCAUCGCCAUACACCAGAGGUAAAAAGGUCGCACCUUGCAAGCUGAACUACAUUUAAUUUGCUGAAAGCAAAGGCCACAAAAAUGUUCUACUUUCCUUGAAAUUCAAUGAGAAGUGAUGCCUAAGAAGCUCUGAGGUGAGUGCCCUUACCUUGGCCCUACAGCAGGUGGUGUAACAUGAUCAUAAGCUGGGGCAAAUCAGCUAAAGCACAGACACAAAGGACUAGACAGACAAGCGCAGGUUUCUUUCCUGGCUCUGGGGAUGCUGAGGGCAGGCGGAACGCAGAAGCAGUGGCACCAUCCCUGGGUGUGAGGGUGGGGUGUGGGGGUGUGUUGGUGGGUGGUGUGAGGGUGGGGUGGUGUGUGGGUUUGGGGUGUAUGGGGCUCUGGGGGUACAUGUUUGUGGGCUGCCGGGCCCCACUUCUCACCUGCUGCUCAAUGACUUCCUUGGGGAAUACCCACUGGCACGGAUGGCCGGGCUUGGAGAGGCCCUGCACGAACUCCAUCCCCCGCUGGCUGCUGAGUUUCCGCACCAGGUACACCCGGUGCCAGUCGUUUUCCACCCGGGUACAGAAGUGCUUGACUUGCUGCAGGUAGCACUGCUUCUCCUCGGCCAUCCCUGAGAGGCCAACAAGAAAGUGGGUGAGCAGCUGGUGACUUAGGGCAUUUAUUGUAGGACACAAGGCCAAUCAGAGGACACAGGAUACCCACAGGCAUUCACAGAAACACGUCCAGAGGAGAGGGGACGUGGAAAAGCCCAGUCAUAGUCUAUUCUAAGAACUAGUUUCCCAUACUUCCUGAAUUUCUAAAUGACGGAGUCUUUAAACCCAAAGUAAAGCAAGGCAGAGAAGACUUGCCUGGGCCUCCCUCAGGCUGCGAGAGGAAAUCUGAAGCUCUGUCCAGGCAGAGGCGGAUCCGGGCCACCUCUUGCAGGUAUUCAACUGAGGCCUCAUUGGCCGGCUCUCGGCCACGUCUUACUGGAGAAUACGUGUUAAGGAAACGACCUUCCUCUCUUAGGUGGUUCAGUUCAUCAUUUCUGGAGCAAGCACUGGUCUUCUCACGUAUUGAAUCCUGAGGAACAAGCAACAAGAAAGAAAAGGAUAUUAUUCUUUUCAACAUGGAUGCCCCAGGCUUCUACAGUUGCCAGUGUGACUAUGGAAAAUUAAGGAAAGAAGGAUAAAGAAUGUUGUUGUAGGUUUCAGUGUAAAUUUCUUGACUCAUGGAAACCUAAUAUCCCUUUUUAUUUUAAGGGCAAGAAGGAGGGGAAAAGUGAGGGGAAAAAUUUUUUUCCUCACAGGAAAAUAAUUAUAUAAUCUAAUUUAUGUACAUUGUAAAAAUUUUGGAUAUAAAAAUAUGAAAAUAAUAAAAAAAAUCCAUAAUGUCCCCACUCAGUGAUAACCACUGUUAACUUUGGUGGUAUAUUCUCCUAGACUUCUGUUUUAUAUGUAUAUGCACAUAAAUGCCAAUAUAUACAUUGCUGAAGGCAGAAGCAGUGUCUUGGAAACCUUUCUUCUUUUCUGCAAGUAACAGAGCAUUUGUUAAUUAUACUGACUAAAAUUAUAUUCUGUAAAUUUUAAACCAUGUGGUUCAGUUUCCAAAAGAAAUUCAGGGAAGAGAGAGUUCGCUUACCUCCAGGCAGUUGAUGAAGAGCAUGUACAGUUCAGUUUUAUCUUCAAUUAUGAAUGCUUUCUUUUUUAACAGGGUCAAGUAAUCCUGAAUAUAAUCUUUUACAUCAUCGAAGCUGCAGAAAGAGAAAUAUUAUUCCUGGCUCUCUCAGAUCUGCAGACACACCGUACUAAAAAAAAGAGCAUCUGUCUAUCACUCAUCUGUCCUGUGUGUGUAUAAACAUACAUACAUGUAUGUAGUUUCUAAGAUUUUAUGGAAAACCUUUUAGCAUAAUACUGGAGGAGUAUAAAACUCACAUUUUAGACCAGCUGUCCUCAAACUUUGGUUUCAGGACCCUUUUAUAGUCUUAAAAAUUGAGAACCUCAAAGAGCUUUUAUGUGAGUUAUAUUAUCAAUAUGUAUGAUAGGAAUUAUGAGACAUUAAAAACAAAAGGUUUCAAAAAUAUACAUUCAUUUAAAAUAACAGUAAAGCUGUUACAUGUUAAGUAACAUUUAACAUAUUUUCCAAAACAUGAAUCAGUGAGAAGAGUGGCUUGGUCUUCCAUUCCUGCACUGGCCCUGAGGCCUGGCUCCUGGAAGUCAGCGGCCUGCCUGCCCUGCUUCUGCUCCCCCUCGCUGCGCCAUAUCGGAGAAUGUGAGGAAAAUCUGUCCUCAUACACUCGGAAUAGUGAGGAACAUUUUAAUAGUUUUUGCGGAUCAUUGUGGAUAUUAUUCCUUAAUGCUGUGCCAACAGUGAUAAAUGGUCAUGUCUAAAGGUUAAUUGCAAUGUGGAGCCUAAAACUGUAUCAAUGCAUUUUUCAGUCAAUUAUGUUAAAAAGUCUGCCCAUACUUUAAAUAGAAUUUUUUCUUUUUUGACCCACAGAUUUCGUGACAUCAAGCAUUGGUCAUUUGGAAAAUACUGGUUCACUGGGCUGUGCAAGUCUUGUAAAGGUUGACACAUUUUUAUUCUGCGUUUAAAAAAAAAAUCCAUAUUCAUUAAUAUCACCACAAAUUGCCCCAAAAUAUCUUUAAGUAUUUGAAAGCUCACAGGCUCAUAGUGAAGAAUACAGGCUUUUCAGAAUUUCAAUUUCAGCUUAAAAGCUUGAAUGUUAUCAUCACCAACCAACAUUGUCAGUUGUUUGGCUGAGGCCGGCUCGCUUUGCUGAUUUCCAGGAGAGGCCUACCCAGCCCUGGACACCGGCAUCGUGUGCGGCCUUCCUCCCGGCACGAGUGGCGGUCCAUGAACACAGCAGCCGGCUGAUAACUCAGGGCUUGUCGUGAGCGAGUUUCUGCGAGGCAACUGUCUACUCCAGUGUGUAGUGGGAGUGUUUUCUGUGUGCUUCCCAUUUCCACAAAACAUUAAGAAAUCAAAUCCUCAAGAGUCAAGAUUUAGUAAAACUAAUGAAACUGGCAUGAAGAAGAAACCACGUGUGCAUGGCGGUGAAGAAAACAAUGCCUGCAGCUGCUGCGUCUUCACGUGAGGGGCCAGCAGUUUCACUUGUCACCGCUUUUGUAAGAUCAUAAGUAUCAACAUGUUUUUUAAAAAGGGCAAAUUUAUCUUAGUAAUCUAAUUUUUAAAAUAGUUUUAACCUCAGAGACCCACCUCACACCCAAGGGUCCAUACCAACACUUUGAGAACUGCAAUAUUAGAUCAAUACAAGUACCACAGGUGAUACUAUUCUUGGAUGUCAACAUCCUUUCACAAGGAAAUAGAGCCCAUGGUCAGGGGAAUAGAAACUUAGAAGACAUCUAGGACAUUCAGGGUGAGCAGGAUUCUAAGCUACCAUCUGAAAAAUCAGAAAGCUGGACCACUGUGGAAACAGGCUCAGCCCACAGAUUCUGCCCUCUUGAGUUCUGUGUCCUUCACACCACCAUGGUCCCUUCACGGCACUGUUGGCUUCUUGCUAGAUGUGUGCUUGUGGGAAUACUAAACUCAUGUGCCUACAUGUGACAGUGUCAGAAUACACAGCCAGUACAAGUAACCAGGUC